GAGGAACUGUACAGCCAGUCGCUGGAGAUCAUCUCCUGCUGCCUGCGGGAGCAGAGACAGGCUCCAAGGACCUGAAGCCUCUGGGAGAGGACCCCGCGGGGCGGGCUGGAGGGCACUGGAGACCCUGCAGCGCAUGGGCAACAGCACCCAGCUCAACCAGGAGACAGCCUUCCAGGGCAUGCUUCUGAAACUGGACAUUAAACACGAAGACAAUGUUAAAUCUUUUUCUCGAGUGAUGACUCAUGUUUUCAAAGAUGGCGUAACAAACUGGGGCAGGAUUGUGACUCAUUUCUUUUGGUGCCUUUGUGGCCAAACACUUAAAGAGCUGAAACCAAGAAAGCUGCAUCCACCUUUAGCAGAAAGUAUCACAAAAGUUCUUGUUCUUGUAAGGACGAAGCUUAACUGGCUUGUGAAACAAAGAGGAUGGGAUGGGUUUGUGGAGUUCUUCCACUUACAGGACCUAGAAGGCAGCAUCAGAAAUGUGUUGCUGGCUUUUGUGGGUGUUGCUGGAGUAGGGGCUGGUCUGGCAUAUCUAAUAAGGUAGCUUGUGAGUGCAAUAGGUGACUCUAAAGCCUCCAGCCACCAACUACAUGCUUCUGUGAGAACAAAUGUGUUUAUGAAGGUGCACUUGAAGCUGCCCGGGAUUUUAACAGGGCAGAAAGAAAGUGGCUACAGAUUUGUGGCUAACGAGAAUAAAUACAUGGGAAAAGUGCUCCCUCUGGAAGAGUCACUGUCUGAAUGAAGUGAAGUUCACUCUCAGCAAACUUUGGGAGGCCAUGGAGGACUUCUAGAAUGAAUGAAAGGGUGAACAGAAAGGUUUGAUUUCCUUGUCUGGAGAUGGAAGAGGGGCCAGUCACCAGGUUGGUCCUAGAGUUCAAUAAGUAUGCAGCAUCCAUUACUCUGCUCCUAGUGCUGAGAGAGAAGCCCUGACAAUGGUGGUGACUUGUGUAAAAUGGAUGUUUAACCUACAAGUAACCAAUCUCUGGCUAGAAGCCGCAGUGCUGUACAAGAGGGUGAAGGAGGAGGCGCUCUAAGCAGGCCCAGGUAUGCUUAAGUUUAUUAGUCUAGUGAUGGCCAAAAGGUACUUGACUCAAUAAGGUUCA
rnacentral:lncRNA from 1 species